rnacentral:rRNA from 1 species
AGUGAACGCUGGCGGCGUGCUUAACACAUGCAAGUCGAACGAGAACGGGUUAUAGCUUGCUAUAAUUGUCAGCUAAGUGGCGCACGGGUGAGUGAUGUAUAGGUAAUAUGCCUCUUACUAAGGGAUAACAAAUGGAAACGUUUGCUAAUACCUUAUACUCCUUAUUAACAGAAGUUAAUAAGGGAAAGAUUUAUUGGUAAGAGAUUAGCCUGUAUUGUAUCAGUUAGUUGGUGGGGUAAUGGCUUACCAAGACUAUGACACAUAACUGGUUUGAAAGGAUGAUCAGUCACACUGGAACUGAGACACGGUCCAGACUCCUACGGGAGGCAGCAGUGGGGAAUAUUGCACAAUGGACGAAAGUCUGAUGCAGCAACGCCGCGUGGAGGAUGACACAUUUCGGUGCGUAAACUCCUUUUAUAUGAGAAGAUAAUGACGGUAUUAUAUGAAUAAGCACCGGCUAACUCCGUGCCAGCAGCCGCCGUAA